rnacentral:rRNA from 1 species
CGGCCCCGGUAAAGCGGCGCACGGGUGAGUAACACGUAGGCAAUCUGCCUCGAGGUGGUGGAUAACCCUCCGAAAGGAGGGCUAAUACAGCAUGAGACCACGUCGUCGAAAGACGAUGCGGCCAAAAGCCGGCCUCUUCAUGAAAGCUGGCGCCACGAGAUGAGCCUGCGGCCCAUCAGCUAGUUGGUAGGGUAACGGCCUACCAAGGCAAAGACGGGUAGCUGGUCUGAGAGGAUGAUCAGCCACACUGGAACUGAGACACGGUCCAGACUCCUACGGGAGGCAGCAGUGGGGAAUCUUGCGCAAUGGGCGAAAGCCUGACGCAGCGACGCCGCGUGAGCGAUGAAGGCCUUCGGGUUGUAAAGCUCUGUGGAGGGGGACGAAUAAGGGCACGCUAAUACCGUGUUUGAUGACGGUACCCCUUUAGCAAGCACCGGCUAACUCUGUGCCAGCAGCCGCGGUAAGACAGAGGGUGCAAACGUUGUUCGGAAUUACUGGGC